rnacentral:rRNA from 1 species
AUGAACGCUGGCGGCGUGCCUCAUACAUGCAAGUCGAGCGAACGGACGAGAAGCUUGCUUCUCUGAUGUUAGCGGCGGACGGGUGAGUAACACGUGGAUAACCUACCUAUAAGACUGGGAUAACUUCGGGAAACCGGAGCUAAUACCGGAUAAUAUUUUGAACCGCAUGGUUCAAAAGUGAAAGACGGUCUUGCUGUCACUUAUAGAUGGAUCCGCGCUGCAUUAGCUAGUUGGUAAGGUAACGGCUUACCAAGGCAACGAUGCAUAGCCGACCUGAGAGGGUGAUCGGCCACACUGGAACUGAGACACGGUCCAGACUCCUACGGGAGGCAGCAGUAGGGAAUCUUCCGCAAUGGGCGAAAGCCUGACGGAGCAACGCCGCGUGAGUGAUGAAGGUCUUCGGAUCGUAAAACUCUGUUAUUAGGGAAGAACAUAUGUGUAAGUAACUGUGCACAGCUUGACGGUACCUAAUCAGAAAGCCACGGCUAACUACGUG